rnacentral:rRNA from 1 species
GACGAACGCUGGCGGCGUGCUUAACACAUGCAAGUCGAACGAUGAACUUGGAGCUUGCUCUGGGGGAUUAGUGGCGAACGGGUGAGUAGCACGUGAGUAACCUGCCCUGGACUCUGGGAUAACUUCGAGAAAUCGGAGCUAAUACCGGAUAGGACCUUGCACCGCAUGGUGUGGGGUGGAAAGUUUUUCGGUUUGGGAGGGACUCGCGGCCUAUCAGCUUGUUGGUGAGGUAAUGGCUCACCAAGGCGUCGACGGGUAGCCGGCCUGAGAGGGUGACCGGCCACACUGGGACUGAGACACGGCCCAGACUCCUGCGGGGGGCAGCGGUGGGGAAGAUUGGACAAUGGGCGCAAGCCUGAUGCAGCAACGCCGCGUGCGGGAUGACGGCCUUCGGGUUGUAAACCGCUUUUAGUAGGGAAGAAGCCUUCGGGUGACGGUACCUGCAGAAAAAGGACCGGCUAACUACGUGCCAGCCGCCGCAGUAAAAC